CCGACAGAUCUGCACUCCCAGGCCACGAUAAACGGCCACGAUCAUGCUCCACUUCCUACGACGGAUUUCGCGCAGCUCCAUCACCCCCUGACAGGCCGCAGUAACGGUCGCAACACUGUUCCGCUCCCUACGAUGGAUCUCACGCGGCUCCAUUACUACCUGACAGGCCACGAUAAAUGGCCACGAUCCUGCUCCACCUCCUGCAAUGGAUACCGCACGA
rnacentral:lncRNA from 1 species